ACUUGCCCGCGCGGCCAUGUGUUGCGUG
rnacentral:sRNA from 1 species